AUGGCGCCACCAGUGAGGGAUCGCACCAUGUACAGGCACCACCUCUGCUUGUGCUUCAUUCUUCUUGCGUCCACGGCCACCCUCUCCGCCGCCGUCACGGCUUCCUCUUACUCCACUGCCUGCCCCUCCCUGGCACCGGCUCAGGACCGCCACACCGACGGCGACGACGCCGUUGCACUCAUCCGCUCCUUCCAAAUCUCCGGCGGCCAGUUCUCCGGGGGCGCCGACGGCCUGUUUUCCCCCGUCGACGACCCCUACAAAGGCCGCCCGUUCCACUUCCUUCCACACGGCGCGUCCCGCACGGACGACCCGGCUCUCGUUCACCUCACCGGUACCUUGACCAUCUUUGGUCCCCGCAGCUGGCGCCGUGGAAGCCACCAGUAUUACAGCGAGGCCGCGUCCAUCGCCUUCGUCCUCGACGGUUACCACUCCUCGGCCUCGCGCGAGCUCUGCAUGGUCGGGACCGGCACCGAGCACGCCGUCGACGGUUCUGUCAAGCAGUACCAUGACGCCGUCCUCCGCCUCCAUGUCCCCAGCCCUCCCAGCCUCGCCGAUCCUUUCGUGUCCGGCAGCAUGGAGGGCUCCUCCGACCUCGGGACCAUCAGCCUCCUCGCGUACGCCGGGGGCGACCACUACAAGUACGACGACUCCGGGCGUGCGGCCUGCAGCCCCGGGCCAUCGAUGCUGCCGGCCAGUGGCUCGCUCCGGGCGCUCGGCGGUGUCAACUCCGUGUGCGCCCACCUGAAAGAACAGCUCAUGAUCUCCUACAGGUUGGAGCAUGGCCGCACCGUGCUUCCGCGGAUGCGCGUCAACCAGAUGCAGUGCAGCGCGGACGGCGCCGCCUUGCACGCAUACGCGGUGCUCUUCAAUGACACCAGGCCGACCGAGAGGGGCUACCGUCGACGCCGCUUCUUGGUCGGCGACGAGGCCUUGGUGGCCGACGGGCACUGGGACGAGUCUCGGCGCAUGCUCUGCCUCAGAGCGUGCCGGGUUUCGCUACCGGCGCCGGCGUCUGGUCCGGUGGUCGACUGCGGGAUCGGGAUGAGCUUCUGGCUCCCAGCAGUGUGGACGAUGUGGGAAAAGAGAGCGGUGGCCGGGAUGCUCUGGAACUAG
rnacentral:rRNA from 1 species